rnacentral:sRNA from 1 species
AUCAUUAUCGUACAAAAUGUGAGAGGGGCAUGCGAGGGCUGUCGCUGACUCAAAGUCGUGCACGCCCGAGUGUGUCGCCUCACAUAAUAAUCCAUCUCACCCUUUGUGCAUCACCGCGUGGGCACCCCUUUGGGAUCAUCUCGGAGGGGGCUCGCGUUUUCACACAAAACCCCCCUUUUAAAAGUGUAGAAUGACCUCAUUUAUGCGCUAACCCGCAAUCAAUACAACUUUCAACAACGGAUCUCUUGGCUCUCGCAUUGAUGAAGAACGCAGCGAAAUGCGAUACGUAAUGUGAAUUGCAGAAUUCAGUGAAUCAUCGAAUCUUUGAACGCACCUUGCGCCCCCUGGUAUUCCGAGGGGCACACCCGUUUGAGUGUCGUGAAAACCUCAACCUCCUUGGUUUCUUCUGGAGACCAAAGCAGGCUUGGACUUUGGAGGCCUUUGCUGGCACCUCUCGCCAGCUCCUCUUAAAUGAAUUAGCAGGGUCCUCUUUGCUGGUCCUCGACGUGUGAUAAGAUGUUUCCAUGUCUUGGUUUCUGGCUCUGUCACCUUUGGGACCCGCUUCUAACCGUCUUCAACCUUGCGUUGAGACAACGUUCGAGCAUGUCUCCCUUCUCGGGAAGCUCCCUCGACCCCACGAACCCUUGACCUCAAAUCGGGUGAGACUACCCGCUGAACUUAAGCAUAUCAUAA